GACGAACGCUGGCGGCGUGCUUAACACAUGCAAGUCGAACGCUGAAGCUUGGUGCUUGCACUGGGUGGAUGAGUGGCGAACGGGUGAGUAAUACGUGAGUAACCUGCCCUUGACUCUGGGAUAAGCCUGGGAAACUGGGUCUAAUACUGGAUACGACAUGCCACUGCAUGGUGGUGUGUGGAAAGGGUUUUACUGGUUUUGGAUGGGCUCACGGCCUAUCAGCUUGUUGGUGGGGUAAUGGCCUACCAAGGCGACGACGGGUAGCCGGCCUGAGAGGGUGACCGGCCACACUGGGACUGGGACACGGCCCAGACUCCUACGGGAGGCAGCAGUGGGGAAUAUUGCACAAUGGGCGGAAGCCUGAUGCAGCGACGCCGCGUGAGGGAUGACGGCCUUCGGGUUGUAAACCUCUUUCAGCACGGAAGAAGCGAGAGUGACGGUACGUGCAGAAGAAGCGCCGGCUAACUACGUG
rnacentral:rRNA from 1 species